UACGUAGGGGGCUAGCGUUGUCCGGAAUCAUUGGGCGUAAAGCGCGCGUAGGCGGCCCGGUAAGUCCGCUCUGAAAGUCCAGGGCUCAACCCUGGAAAGCGGGUGGAUAUUGCCGGGCUAGAAUCCGGAAGAGGCGAGUGGAAUUCCUGGUGUAGCGGUGGAAUGCGUAGAGAUCCGGAGGAACACCAGCGGCGAAGGCGGCAUCCUGGACUGGUCCUGACACUCAUGAGCGAAAGCGUGGGGAGCGAUCCGG
rnacentral:rRNA from 1 species